GCCGCCGAGGCCCCGCCCCCGCCUUGCACGGACCGGCUGCCCUAGCCAAUCCACGCCCACCUGUCCGCCACCGCCUCCAAUCCUGGGCCAGGAGCUUCAGACAGGCGCACUGUUCGGCCAGUGGCAACAAGGAGCAGGAAGCUGCGUGGUAAUCCCGCCUGCAAAAGCUGGAAGAGAGGGGCGGAACGAAAGAACCAAUCAUGAGCCAGAGACAAAGAACAGAGUAACCAAUCCUUGGGUUGAAAAUGAAGUGGGAUGGAACCUGGGCCAAAUAGACACUUGAAAAAACAAAUGGAAAAAAAAGGUUGAGGAGCUGAGCAUGAAGAACGAGAAGUCGGAAGUGAGUCAGCAGGAUAGCACUUAGAGCCUAAAAAAGCAAGCAGGACAUCAGAAUGCAUAAGCAGGAAUAUAAUGUGCAGGAAGUGGGAGGUGA
rnacentral:lncRNA from 10 species